GGUGUUUUGGCCGAGCGGUCUAAGGCGCUAGCUUAAGGUGAACCUCGCAAGAGCGUGACCCGCUAGUCCGAAAGGGCGUGAGUUCGAAUCUCACAGACAUCA